GGGUUCUUAGCUCAGAGGUAGAGCGUUCCGUUGCAGCCGGAAUGGUCACUGGUUCGAUUCCGGUAGGGCCCU
rnacentral:tRNA from 1 species